GAAUUUAACGACAAGUUAAUUUCGGCUGUUCAGAAGCGUGCCAUCCUGUGGGACUGCAGUCGCUAUGACUACAAAGAUCAAAGAAAGAAGGCUCAGGCGUGGGAAGAAGUUGCCGCCGAAAUAGGAUGCGACCUGCAAGAAAAAAAUCUACAGGCUAGGUGGAAGAGCCUGCGGGAUACAUUCACCAAAAAGUACCGGGUGCACAAACACGGCGCCCCGAGUGGCUCAGGUGCAAGUGACGCGAAGGGAAUCAAUGAUGCAAGCGUGAGCUGGCCUUAUUUCACCUUGCUGAAGUUCUUAAAAGAUCAGGCGGAAGUGGCCAGUACCAUAUCCAACAUUUCUCAGCCGGCUGCGACUGAAACCGCUGAGGAAGUGUUCGAGAGAUUGUACAACACUGGAGGAGCGCAGGAAGAACAAG